UUUAAAGCGUUCAAACGCGUUCGAUCCGAGAAACCCGAACGAAAUCGAAAUAAUACUUCUAGAAUAAAUCGCUGUGCGCGAGAACUGCGUGUGAUUUUCAUGAUUAAACAAAAGAAAUCAAAAAGGAAUUUAAAACAAUUAUUCUUUAGUGUUUAAAAAGCAACUAAAAAGAAAGCUGGCAAAAUAUGAAAUAAACAUGAAAAGAAUUCUCUAGAGGAGAAAAGUGGCAAAAGUGAUUAUUAAACUUCAGAAAAUUAAAGCAAAAGCUAAUUAAAAAUAAUUACUAAGAAAUCCAGUGUACAUUUUGUGAUUAGAAAAUUUACUUCCUCGAAAACCAAACAUAAAUAAUAUUCAUUUUAAACAAAAUUUAUUUUAAAUCCCUUAUCAACUUUGGUAGAAAAAUGUCUCCAGCUGUGACAAAUGAUGGCCUAAAAUGGCGGCCACACCACCAAUGCCGCCCGGAUCCAACACCCACCACCAUGUGAAUGGGAUCGUCAAGCAAUCGAACGGCCAGGGGAACCACCUAACCGAGGCAAUUAACCAGCACUUUCAGCGAAAGAACCAACAAAACCAAAAGCACAACCAGGCCCAGCACAACUGUAGCCCCAGCAUAAAUCCCAAUCCGAAUCAAAAUCCAAAUCCCAACAGUCCCGGCGGCAGUCGCUGUGGAAGCAAUGAGCAGCUGGAGCUGCUGGAGCCACAGGAAGCCACUGCUGCCGCCGCCGGCAAGGCCAAGCUGAGCUGCCACUGCACCAACAUUAGUAUUAUGCACCUCUUCCAUGAGAUGAAGCAGGAGUUCCCAACGAUACCCGAUGCCAUAGUGACGCAAUGCGUCAAUGAGAAUUGCCAUCAGCGCGAGAAUUGCAUCCAGAUGUUGAGGAAGGAGUUAGCCCUGCACCCCAUCCCAGUGCAAAGCUAUCCGGCCAAGGUGUUGCAACAGCAACAGCAGCAGCAGCAACAGAUUAGGCCAGCCAAGCCUCCGACGCCGCUGAAGCCAUCACGGGCAGCCCCACCACAGCCAGAGUUUAGCCAGAGCAAUGGCAUCGGUCCCGGCAGUCCGAGCUCCCAGGCCAAUCUACAGCCCAGGCCACGACCCACCACCCUCAACCUGCAGCGGCAAAUCAGCACGCAGCUGCAGCAGAAGAUCCAGCAGCGACAACAGCGCCAGCAAAGGGAUCAGCAACCCCAACAGCUGACGCCCACGUCGCUGAGUAAGCCGCUGCGCCGAGCACCACCUUUGCCGCCGCCGCCCAAGCCAAAUCCCAAUCCCAAGCCUGGCAGCUUCUCCAACGAUUCCUCCUGUCUCACGAGUCCCAUGAGCUCCAGCGAGUCGGAGCUCUCUCUCAACGCGGCCGUCUUCUUAUCGUCACCAACGACGUCGGCGGCGAAUACAGCUGCUACGGGAGCGGCGAUAGCCACGGCUCAGCCACAGCCACAGCUACAACCACAACAACCCUCUCCAGUGCGACAUCGUUCAGUCAUUACGCUCCAGCCAGAGCCGCCGUACGCGCGCGAUUUCCUCAGUAGCAGCAGUGGUGUGACGACAACGACGACACCGCCAACGACAGCCACGCCGCCGCUACCCUCACCCAGCUCAGCAGCGUCGCCGGUAGCAGGUGCUGGCGGACGUAAGAGCUUCACCUCGCUCAAUCUCACCCUGCGCCAGCCAACGACAGGACCAGCACAGUCGGCCAUCGACAUCACUGCCGGUCCGGCGCCCAGUGGCCAGGGCAGUGGGAUAACCUACUCCAGUGUUAGUUUUGACGCGCGUCGCGGAACUCACAAAAAUUUCCAGCUGACGGUGACGGAAGAGGGCAGUGUCUUUAGUGCGGGUUGCUUUCGUCCCCGGGUUCCCUACACCGGAGUGGGCUGUGAGUCGGCGGCGACACCUGCUGCACCGACGAAUCAACCGCCGCCGUCAGCCGCCACGUCCGCAGUGCUGGCAACCGAUGGCCACGGCGACGAGAUGCAGAUGGAUGUGUUCCCGUAUCCCACACAGGCCCAGAAUCACAUAGUGGCCUCCAAUUACAGCAACAACCAUGUGGUUACCGACAACAACAAUGGCAACGGGAGCAGCAGUGUCGACAGCAGUCCAACAAUGCCUCUGUACGUCGGAGUGCUGGAGGAGUGCGAUCGUGAAGCCCAUGCCGCCACCAUUGUGCGUCAGAAACAGCGUCGCGACAAGUUGGCCAACGCUUUGAGGGACAACAAGAAGCGUCUGCUCGUGCUGGAGCAGGAGAUCAAUAUCCUCACGGAGCCGGUGCCCGUUGGCGAAUCUGAAAGACUGGAUAGAGAUAUCAAGCAACUGGCUGAGGACUGUCAGCAGCUCAAUCAGCUGCUGAACCGUAUAAAUGAACCCCAGGCCAAUGACUCGGGCUCUGGCUCCGCACCCAAUUCCAUGAAUCGCCAGAACUCGGCACCCAUCAGCCAACACCAGCAACAACAGCCGCCGCCACGUCAGUGUCCAGGCGGUCGAACCCAGGCGCCGCCCAAUUCGCUGCGCCUGCACUCGGUGCCAGCAGUUCCCACUACCGCGCAGCCCACACCAGACUUUGGCCAGCAUCAGCAGCACAGCAGUGCGCCGACCUCAGCCUGCUUGACGCCCCAGCAGCAGCUGCAGCAGGAGGCGCCCCCAACUUAUGCCCAAUACUAUCAGUUCCAGCAAUAUUUGCAUCAACAGCGACAGCAGCAACUGCAGCAGUUGCAGGUGCAACAGCAGCAGCAGCAGAUACUGCAGCAGCAACAGCAGCUGCAGCAGCGUGCGGUCACCGAGGAGGAGGAAUUCCAGUCGGACUCCGAUGCCGAGGCGGAGGAGACACUGGACUCGUGGGCCUGCAACAUGUGUACAUUCCGCAACCAUCCGCAAUUGAAUAUUUGCGAGGCCUGUGAUUACGUGAGGAUUCAGCCGGGUAUGCUACACUUUGUACCCCCCGCUUCUGCUGCGGGUGCUGGCGGCGGGACUGGAGAUCAGCAGCAGCAGCAGCAGCCGCCCCAGCAGCCCUACGCACUGCAUACGUAACCCAUCACAAAGUUCUCAUAAUGUGCUCGCUCGCUGCUCGCUUCCCUCCCUCCUGCUCCGACUGUUCCCGCUCAGUGCAUGUUCCGACUUUGAAACUGUGAUAGCAUUUAAAUUUACCUGGCGGCAGGUGCUUUAGCUCCACUGCAUGGCUCAGCCCCGAAAGACACUAAAACGAAAGCGAAAGGACGUCAACGAAUUGCUUAAGCGCAGACCUGUUUUAAAUUAUUUCCUUUUUGAUUUAUGUUAUGUAUGUUAAUGGCACUUAAUUUAGACACUAACUGUAACCACUAGCCUUAAGUUUAUUAUUAUUUAUAGCCACCUAUAAAAGAGUAAAUGAAUAAAGAACGUUAUUUAAAUAUUUUAACAAGGCUUAGCUGCUAUUAUUUAUAUUUUUUGUUCAAACUGUUGACUUUUUUCAGCGCCCGUUCUGAGUCGUGAGGACAUACAUAUAACCCUCUCGCCAGGCGAAAAUCGUAUUAUACACUCCUGGAUCCUGUCAUGACCCACGGCCAACCGCAAGCGCUCACCAUGAGAGAACCUAGACAGCUCCAGAGAUUGAUACCUUACUUAAACUAUAUACACUACUCUAUAUAAUAUAUAUUGUAUAUAUAUGUAUUUCGCUUUAUUAAUUUUAAUUGUAAAGAGAAAAAUAUUUUCGCUGCUGGCAGCGAUUUUAGCCUAAUUUGAUUCUGUAAGGAAAAGACUUUAGCAAUGCCGCAAAUCAACUGAAAUCAACUAGCAAAUAUUAAUUGUAAAUCAACCGUGUACAUUUUGUAUAUAAAUAUUUAAUUAUAUCAUUGUUUAAGG